GUGCACACCCCUAACUCUAUUGAGCUAGGCAUUUCUAUUAGGUUAACCAGACUUGCUGGCCUCCGAGAAGGUAGCAGGGAAAAACAGGUUAACCAGACCUGCUGGCCUCCGAGAAGGUAGCAGGGGACCUGCUGGCCUCCGGGAAGGUAGCAGG